GAACCACCAAAGAGAUUAACAGAAACCUGCUAAUCACAGUGAGAAGAAAAGUAUAGUGUCGAUGUGCUCGCUCAGUUUAACGGAAAUUUCAAAUAAAUUAUUUACAAGUGUAUUAAAAGAUAUUUAUAGCAGUGAAUUCGGUGAUUGUCACGUUGUUGACUGCUGAUCAGUAAUACUGAGUGAAGAUACAAUACCAGCAACGUAUUAGCGCAGGAAAGAUAAUCUCUAUCUUAUGAAUUUGAACGGAACACUGUUAUGUAGGUAAUCUUAAUAUCCUCUAUCAAACAUAACCUAAAGUGAUAAACUCAU